GACGAACGCUGGCGGCGUGCUUAACACAUGCAAGUCGAACGGAAAGGCCCUGCUUUUGUGGGGUGCUCGAGUGGCGAACGGGUGAGUAACACGUGAGUAAUCUGCCCUUGACUUUGGGAUAACUUCAGGAAACUGGGGCUAAUACCGGAUAGGAGCUCCUGCUGCAUGGUGGGGGUUGGAAAGUUUCGGCGGUUGGGGAUGGACUCGCGGCUUAUCAGCUUGUUGGUGGGGUAGUGGCUUACCAAGGCUUUGACGGGUAGCCGGCCUGAGAGGGUGACCGGCCACAUUGGGACUGAGAUACGGCCCAGACCCCUACGGGAGGCAGCAGUGGGGAAUAUUGCACAAUGGGCGGAAGCCUGAUGCAGCAACGCCGCGUGCGGGAUGACGGCCUUCGGGUUGUAAACCGCUUUCGCCUGUGACGAAGCGUGAGUGACGGUAAUGGGUAAAGAAGCACCGGCUAACUACGUG
rnacentral:rRNA from 1 species